rnacentral:rRNA from 1 species
UACGAAGGGGGCUAGCGUUGCUCGGAAUCACUGGGCGUAAAGGGUGCGUAGGCGGGUCUUUAAGUCAGGGGUGAAAUCCUGGAGCUCAACUCCAGAACUGCCUUUGAUACUGAAGAUCUUGAGUCGGGAGAGGUGAGUGGAACUGCGAGUGUAGAGGGUGAAAUUCGUAGAUAUUCGCAAGAACACCAGUGGCGAAGGCGGCUCACUGGCCCGAGUACUGACGCUGAGGCACGAAAGCGUGGGGAGCAAACAGGG